rnacentral:rRNA from 1 species
GAUGAACGCUAGCGGCAGGCUUAAUACAUGCAAGUCGAGGGGCAGCAUGAAUGUAGCAAUACAUUUGAUGGCGACCGGCAAACGGGUGCGGAACACGUACACAACCUUCCUAUAAGUGGGGAAUAGCCCAGAGAAAUUUGGAUUAAUACCCCGUAACAUAAUGAUGUGGUAUCACAUUAUUAUUAUAGCUUCGGCGCUUAUUGAUGGGUGUGCGGCUGAUUAGAUAGUUGGCGGGGUAACGGCCCACCAAGUCUACGAUCAGUAGCUGAUGUGAGAGCAUGAUCAGCCACACGGGCACUGAGACACGGGCCCGACUCCUACGGGAGGCAGCAGUAAGGAAUAUUGGUCAAUGGACGCAAGUCUGAACCAGCCAUGCCGCGUGAAGGAUUAAGGUCCUCUGGAUUGUAAACUUCUUUUAUCUGGGACGAAAAAAGGCUAUUCUUAGUCACUUGACGGUACCAGAUGAAUCAGCACCGGCUAACUCCGUGCCAGCCGCCGCCGUAAGAC